AUUGAACGCUGGCGGCAGGCCUAACACAUGCAAGUCGAGCGAACGGCGGACGGGUGAGGAAUGCCUGGGCCUGGCACAGUCGAGGGGGAUAACAGUUGGAAACGACUGCUAAUACCGCAUACGACUGUCUUUGCCAGGUGGGGUUGGAUAGUUGGUGAGUUAAUGGCUCACCAAGGCGACGAUCCCUAGCUGGUCUGAGAGGAUGAUCAGCCACACUGGAACUGAGACACGGCCCAGACUCCUACGGGAGGCAGCAGUGGGGAAUAUUGUACAAUGGGGGAAAGCCUGAUGCAGCCAUGCCGCGUGUGUGAAGAAGGUCUUCGGGUUGUAAAGCACUUUCAGUGAGGAGGCGUUAUUCGCAGAAGAAGCAACGGCUAACUACGUGCCAGCAGCCGCGGUAAUAC
rnacentral:rRNA from 1 species